rnacentral:lncRNA from 1 species
ACAUGCAUAAAGGUGUCAUGUCCCUGAAGACCUCACAGCGUGCAUCCGUGCCUGUGCUGAUGUUAGAUCAGAGGGUGUACGCACAGGGGAGGGCUCAGCAUGCUACAGAUAACGAAAAUGACAGUUACUCAUCACCAUACUCCUGCAAGGUAUCCUGCAAAAGGAACCUGCUCUGAAGAGUUCCUUCACUGUGCAGUCUUUCAGGACCAAGUAAGUCAUUUGAGUCAUUUUAUUAAAAUGAAAUGUAGAAUGUAAAUAUGUUUAAUGAUCUAUGUUGAGGACUUUUUUAUGUUUGAUGCUUGCUG